rnacentral:rRNA from 1 species
UACGGAGGAGGCAAGCGUUAUCCGGAAUUAUUGGGCGUAAAGCGUCCGCAGGUGGCACUUCAAGUCUGUCGUCAAAGACUGGGGCUUAACCCCGGAAAGGCGGUGGAAACUGAAGCGCUAGAGUGCGGUAGGGGUAGAGGGAAUUCCCGGUGUAGCGGUGAAAUGCGUAGAGAUCGGGAAGAACAUCGGUGGCGAAAGCGCUCUACUGGACCGCAACUGGCACUCAGGGACGAAAGCUAGGGGAGCGAAUGGG